CCGUCUGCCGCCAGCGAGCGCCAGGUGCGGAGCGGGCGUUAGAAGUUGCUGGCAGUCAGAGGCAGGGGAGCUGUCACUCGCGGCGAGCCGGGCGGCGGCCAGGGCGCAAAGUUGAGAGCAGUCUCUAGUCUGAGCCUUUCAGUCGCCUUCCAGUAUCAUCAGUACCACGGGCUCCACCUUGCUGCGGCCCCUCAGCAACCCAGUGCACCUGCCACUCGACCAGAGGGAAAGCAGUCAGGAGUGGGAGGCCUCUGAACAAGCUGUAUUUUGUGUAGCCGCCAGCUUCCAUCUUUCUCCAGGCAGAACGCUGGCCCUCAGCACAUCUUUCUGCUUCCCCUCGGUCAGACCACCGAGAACUGCCGCUGUCCUGUCUGACUCCUCCUGUUUUGGUACUAGACCCCAGAUGAGGAUCUCAGGAAGAUCCACAAAGCUGCGUCCAGGGGAACGAACGUGUGGAAGCUGCAGCGGAGCCUCCUGCUCAAGAGUAAAGGACCGGUCUGAAACCUACAAGAACAGAUUCUCACAGUAGACGAGGAGCCUGUUUUUCAGCUAGCUGCUGCAAGGAGCUGGACAUUUCUCCCUUCAAAUAGGACCUGGAAGGCCUGGAAGCAUCUGGAGAAGGGCAUGGCUGUGAGUAGAGAAACAGAGGAUACAGGCUAAAGCAGGAGGAAGCGAGAGGACUCACGGAAAGCCUUGCUGCACUCUCCAAAAGAGCUGCCCUUUUCACGUGAAGAGCUAUGUGAUCGGAUCCCCGGUUUGGCAGAGUAGACAUGCGAGAAGACUGAACGUUUCAUCGUUGAAACCUCUUAAAGGUGGAAUGUGUGGCAGAAAGAACGUCUGAGAAGCUCACGCGAUUUGCAGAAGGAACAUUUGUAGAAGAUUCCCUGUUUUCCGAAGGAAUGUCAAGUUCCAAAGAAGAACGUCCGAGAAGAUUCAGUGUUUGGCAGAAGAAACCUCUGUCAGACGUGAACGUGUGACAGAAGGGCCAUCCAGGAAGAUUGCACACUGGGCAGAAAGAAGACUUAAGAACAUUGCAUGGACAGCAGAAGGAGUGCUUCGGGAGAUUGCCUGGUGGGCGCCAGGAACACCUGAGAUGAUGUCAUGGCAAACAGUGGAAAUGAGAGAAAGAUGAUGGAGCUGCUAAACCUUGCCCAUUUUGAUCUGUUAUGUGAGACUUGCCUUUCGCCUUCUGUCAUGAUUGUGAAGUGUCCCCAGCCAUGUGGAACUGACACAUAUUGCUUGUCUCUGAACUUCUCAGCUGCCUGCAGAUCUUCCUGUUUUUCAGCUGCAGUUAGGGUUUGUCUGAGGAGAAGCAUAACAUCCCUCCAGGCUUACCCUGGUUGCUCAGUGAAGAAUAAAGUACAGGGAACAUGAGAGAAUACAUGGGAGAUCAAUCAAGAUGCUACUUCAGUAAUCCAUGACAAUGACAACGUAAAGUAAUGCAAGGUGCACGUGAUGGGUAUGGCCAAAUGCUCCACAAAUAAAUGUGUUGAAUGAAUGAACAAAUGAAUAAGCGAAGUGAAUGGAACAUCAAACUGCAUAAAAAUAUAUUUAUUCAUAAAUGAGAGGUGAUGAUUGCCAACAUAUCAUAAUCAGACUCUGACCUUGGUUACUUAUGAGUUUGACAACGAAGAGGAAAGAGGAUCAGAAUGGAUCUACAUUUGUCCUGUGUCAAUGGCUAUCCAGAAGCGGUAACUUUGCUGGUGCACAGAAAGUGCCAGCUUAACGUGUGUGACGGUGAAAACACGACACCUCUGAUGAAGAUAUAUAGUAGCCAGUUAUUUCAGCAUGAGAUGGAUUUGGUUUAAAUACAUAGAAUAAAAAUGGAUUUAUUUCAUUGAAAUGUAACUAAUUUGUGAACCUAUGGAAUAUUUAUUUGUAUUUUCUAGAAUUUACAAUGUGUUUCUUGGUCUAAUACUGACAGGCUAUACAAUGCCAAGAAGAUGUUUAUGCAACUAUUCUGCUGGACUUUGGUGCCUAUCCAGAUAUUACAGAUAUCAACAGAAAAACUGCUCUCCACUGUGCUGUCUAUAGUGAGAAUAUGUCAGUGGUGGCAAAACUGCUUUCACACAACACAAACAUCUAAGUGAAAAAUGGAGUAGAGAAUAACCAACAUUAUUUUCAAAAUAUUUGAAAUCCAUUUGCUUUAACACUGACAUGCGUUAGGGUCAGUUUUUCAUAUUUGGAAGCUCAAGCAUGCUCUUCUGUGAAUGAAAAUAUUCUGAAGUAACUGUCUAAUAAUUUAAAUAUUAAUGUUUUUAAAGAAGUAUUAGACGGUAUAGCUUUCUUUCAUGCAUUUAUGAUAAAUAUUUAAAUUUAUUAAAGGUAAAAGUUUGUUUUUCAAAUAUUUUAGCCACUCAAGUUUUUGUUCUUUCUAAUUAGUGUAAAACAACACAGAAAAGCAAAAUGUGCCUGCAUAAACUGAGUCAACAUGUAAACCUUUUGAUAUUUAUUAUUAAAUAAGUUAUUUGGCAAUGUAUCAAAUUUUUAAAUGUGUGUCCCUUUUGACCUAGAAAUUCUACUCCCAGGAAUUUCUCCUAAGAAGAUAAUCAGAAAAGUUUACAAAGAUGAAUAGAAAAGAAGAGUCACUGCAGCCUUAUUUGUAAAAGUGAAAAAUAGCAACAGCCCAAAUGUCAUGAAUGGAGAAUUAAUAUAUGGUGCAUCCAUACAAAAAUACUGUGCAGCGAGUAAGCCAAUGAAGCCCAAAAUUUCUGACAUGGACAUUGACAUAGCAGAGUGACAAUAACGAGGUUAUAAAACAUCAUCAGUGAAAGGUCUAUUUGUACAAAUUAAUUUUUUGAGUGUAUACUUAGGGUAUAUAAAAUGUAUUUGGUUAAUGUCAAAAUAAUUAUCUUUGCUUAAGUAAAAUUUGGGGGCAAUUUAAAUUUUUUAAUAUAUUUUCUUAUAUUGACCAGUUUUCUUAAAAAGUAGAUACUAUUUUUAUAAUCAUACAACAGCAAGAGAGGAGCUCUCAUACCUUCUCCAUUCUUCUGUAUUACCUAUUACAUAGUGAAUUUUUUUCUAAAAUUAAUACUGAAUAAAAGUUUCCACAGCUUUAAAAUAAAGGCCUAAAAACCACUCUUUCAGAUUAGAUCCUGGGCAACUAAAAUUUUAAACACCUAAACAACACCAAGCACUUAAAGCUUGAGAACUUAAAUUUAAGAAAAAUGGUUGAACAAUUUUUG
rnacentral:lncRNA from 1 species